rnacentral:rRNA from 1 species
CAUCGCCGCGGUAAUACGAGGGGGGCAAGCGUUGUUCGGAAUUAUUGGGCGUAAAGGGUGCGUAGGCGGUUUGAUAAGUCAUCUGUGAAAUCUCUGGGCUCAACCCAGAGUCUGCACGAGAAACUGUCGGGCUUGAGUAUUGGAGAGGUGAGUGGAAUUUCCGGUGUAGCGGUGAAAUGCGUAGACAUCGGAAGGAACACCUGUGGCGAAAGCGGCUCACUGGACAAUAACUGACGCUGAUGCACGAAAGCUAGGGGAGCAAACAGGAUUAGAUACCCGUGUAGUCCCUGUCUCUUAUACA